rnacentral:rRNA from 1 species
CCUACGGGAGGCAGCAGUGGGGAAUAUUGGACAAUGGGGGCAACCCUGAUCCAGCCAUGCCGCGUGUGUGAAGAAGGCCCUCGGGUUGUAAAGCACUUUCAGUGAGGAAGAACGCCUGGUGGUUAAUACCCAUCAGGAAAGACAUCACUCACAGAAGAAGCACCGUCUAACUCCGUGCCAGCAGCCGCGGUAAUACGGAGGGUGCGAGCGUUAAUCGGAAUUACUGGGCGUAAAGCGCGCGUAGGUGGCUUGAUAAGCCGGUUGUGAAAGCCACGGGCUCAACCUGGGAACGGCAUCCGGAACUGCCAAGCUAGAGUGCAGGAGAGGAAGGUAGAAUUCCCGGUGUAGCGGUGAAAUGCGUAGAGAUCGGGAGGAAUACCAGUGGCGAAGGCGGCCUUCUGGACUGACACUGACACUGAGGUGCGAAAGCGUGGGUAGCAAACAGGAUUAGAUACCCCUGUAGUC